GUGAAGCCCAUGCAAGUGUUGCCACUAGCAUUGAAAUUAGGAUCACCUGCGGAGAAUUGAGAAAAAUUGGUUCAGACCACUUUUUAUGUGACUUAAUUAAAGGAGAUAAUUGAUACCUGGAAACAUCUCAAUAGAUGCGAUUGAGAAAAGAAGCAGAAGACCUAAAACGGAAGCCUUCAUUUCGUGACCGGAACUAUUUUGCGACUAAACUACUGUUAUCAAAGUUAAACUCAAGAGGAUAGAUUUACACGCCACACCUCGACUGAACCAAGGAAAAUGUCUUACAACAAUCACUUUGAGCUGUCCAUUAGGUUUUAUACCUUCCGCAACAUCAGCUUUCGUUAAAUUACCUCGAUUAUACACUCCUUUCUCCUUAAGCGACGGAAUUCCCGAAUAUUAGCAACACGUGCAAGAGGUGCAAGGCUAUAUUCGAACCAUGAAUUGAUGGAAUCCAGAAAUACCUUGGGAAGCCACUUGCACAAGUAAAAAACUGCAAGUCACUAACUGGGAACCGCUGACUACGUGAGGAAUCUUGCAAGGUGGGAAUCCAGAGCCCCAAACGACGUUCGAAGGACGUCUAACUCCGGCUAGAGAAGAUUGAGAAGAGAAUAACACUUCAAGGUUAUACUAUCCACUUGAUUUACACGCACCCAAGUUGUGGGUCAACUCUGCGUCAGUAACUUAUUUGGCUCGCAGAACAAAUUAGCAUAAAGAUACAGUAUGGCAUGUUGAAAGACUUAGAAAUAGCUACCAGCACUUUCCUGUUAUCGUUUGAUUGACAAUUAUAUUUGUUGCGUAUUGUACUUUGUUAUGGUCUUUAUUUGUUUGAACGUUGUUAUUCUUGAAAUUUUAAUGCCGCUUAACGUUUCUUCCACAGAUCGCUGCUGGGAGAAAUAAGAAAACAUAUUUCUUAGAAGCAAAACCUCACAGGUAGGAAUUUGAAUUUUCAUGCACUAUUAUGGAAAGUGAUUUUCGUUCCCCAUUCAAAUAGACUAGAAUAACAACCAUUUCUCACUUUAAUCUAUAAGACGUACAUUAUGUGUUACUCGAUUUCAUUGUUAUAGCAAUAACCUAUUUUUCUUGUAAAUUGUAGUACCUAUCGCUUGCUAUGGCCAACGAAGUGUUAAAACCAACAAAAUCGAAAUCUGAAUUAUUUUUAUUGAAAAACCUUUAACUUUAUGACAGAAUUUUACGACAUUCAUUAACUGAAUUAUAUUUUGACGAUCAGAGCAGAGCCUCACGAGGACACGCUGGCAUGAAAAUCCAUCCGGUUCAGGCUGUUUAACGGAUGGGAACUCCGGCGAAGUGUUCAUCUUGAUCACAUCAGUGUUUAUUUCGAUGUGGUGCUCGAGUGACGUUCGGAGUCAAAGCCACUUCUUUGUAGAGCUUCAAAACAGAUCAAUUAUUGGCGCUGUUGCGACGGAAGAAGAUGACAUCCUUCAUCUCCAGGUUCACUGAUUCAUAAAGUCGCCAAGAAGAGGACGAGCUGCCGUGUCGAUUGUUCGAGGCCGGCCUCUAAACGUUGGACUAGGGUAGCAGUCGGUUAUCCAAUCAUCCGGCACUUUAUCCAGCUGUCUUUUGAACACGGUGGCCAUCAAUUUCGCAUUAAUAGCAACGGCAACUCUAUUGAUUGACUUCCGUGUUUCCCUCCUGUUAACCUAACCUUCCAUUUUCCUUAUUUCACUAAAUUUUCCCGUUAAACAGCUUCAAUUUAUUCUUGUCGUCACUGCUGAGUCUCUAAUUAAUUAUUACAUUUCAAUGUGAAUAUGACGUUGCCAUCCGUCUCUACGACGGCAUAUUAAUUUGCAAUAAAGGUUAGACAUAACUGA